UAAUACGGAGGGUGCAAGCGUUAAUCGGAAUUACUGGGCGUAAAGCGAACGCAGGCGGUUUGUUAAGUCAGAUGUGAAAUCCCCGAGCUUAACUUGGGAACUGCAUUUGAAACUGGCAAGCUAGAGUCUUGUAGAGGGGGGUAGAAUUCCAGGUGUAGCGGUGAAAUGCGUAGAGAUCUGGAGGAAUACCGGUGGCGAAGGCGGCCCCCUGGACAAAGACUGACGCUCAGGUGCGAAAGCGUGGGGAGCAAACAGGAUUAGAUACCCUGGUAGUCCACGCUGUAAACGAUGUCGACUUGGAGGUUGUGCCCUUGAGGCGUGGCUUCCGGAGCUAACGCGUUAAGUCGACCGCCUGGGGAGUACGGCCGCAAGGUUAAA
rnacentral:rRNA from 1 species